GGGUUGUGAGGUUAAGCGACUAAGCGUACACGGUGGAUGCCCUGGCAGUCAGAGGCGAUGAAGGGCGUGCUAAUCUGCGAUAAGCGCCGGUAAGGUGAUAUGAACCGUUAUAACCGGCGAUACCCGAAUGGGGAAACCCAGUGUGACUCGUCACACUAUCAUUAACUGAAUCCAUAGGUUAAUGAGGCGAACCGGGGGAACUGAAACAUCUAAGUACCCCGAGGAAAAGAAAUCAACCGAGAUUCCCCCAGUAGCGGCGAGCGAACGGGGAGGAGCCCAGAGCCUGAAUCAGCAUGUGUGUUAGUGGAAGCGUCUGGAAAGGCGCGCGAUACAGGGUGACAGCCCCGUACACAAAAGCGCAUGUGCUGUGAGCUCGAUGAGUAGGGCGGGACACGUGGUAUCCUGUCUGAAUAUGGGGGGACCAUCCUCCAAGGCUAAAUACUCCUGACUGACCGAUAGUGAACCAGUACCGUGAGGGAAAGGCGAAAAGAACCCCGGCGAGGGGAGUGAAAAAGAACCUGAAACCGUGUACGUACAAGCAGUGGGAGCCUCUUUUAUGGGGUGACUGCGUACCUUUUGUAUAAUGGGUCAGCGACUUAUAUUCUGUAGCAAGGUUAACCGAAUAGGGGAGCCGGAGGGAAACCGAGUCUUAACCGGGCGUUAAGUUGCAGGGUAUAGACCCGAAACCCGGUGAUCUAGCCAUGGGCAGGUUGAAGGUUGGGUAACACUAACUGGAGGACCGAACCGACUAAUGUUGAAAAAUUAGCGGAUGACCUGUGGCUGGGGGUGAAAGGCCAAUCAAACCGGGAGAUAGCUGGUUCUCCCCGAAAGCUAUUUAGGUAGCGCCUCGUGAAUUCAUCUCCGGGGGUAGAGCACUGUUUCGGCUAGGGGGCCAUCCCGGCUUACCAACCCGAUGCAAACUGCGAAUACCGGAGAAUGUUAUCACGGGAGACACACGGCGGGUGCUAACGUCCGUCGUGAAGAGGGAAACAACCCAGACCGCCAGCUAAGGUCCCAAAGUCAUGGUUAAGUGGGAAACGAUGUGGGAAGGCCCAGACAGCCAGGAUGUUGGCUUAGAAGCAGCCAUCAUUUAAAGAAAGCGUAAUAGCUCACUGGUCGAGUCGGCCUGCGCGGAAGAUGUAACGGGGCUAAACCAUGCACCGAAGCUGCGGCAGCGACACUAUGUGUUGUUGGGUAGGGGAGCGUUCUGUAAGCCUGUGAAGGUGGCCUGUGAGGGUUGCUGGAGGUAUCAGAAGUGCGAAUGCUGACAUAAGUAACGAUAAAGCGGGUGAAAAGCCCGCUCGCCGGAAGACCAAGGGUUCCUGUCCAACGUUAAUCGGGGCAGGGUGAGUCGACCCCUAAGGCGAGGCCGAAAGGCGUAGUCGAUGGGAAACGGGUUAAUAUUCCCGUACUUGGUGUUACUGCGAAGGGGGGACGGAGAAGGCUAUGUUGGCCGGGCGACGGUUGUCCCGGUUUAAGCGUGUAGGUGUGUGUUCCAGGUAAAUCCGGUUCACUUUAACACUGAGGCGUGACGACGAGGCACUACGGUGCUGAAGCAACAAAUGCCCUGCUUCCAGGAAAAGCCUCUAAGCAUCAGGUAACAUCAAAUCGUACCCCAAACCGACACAGGUGGUCAGGUAGAGAAUACCAAGGCGCUUGAGAGAACUCGGGUGAAGGAACUAGGCAAAAUGGUGCCGUAACUUCGGGAGAAGGCACGCUGACACGUAGGUGAAGUGAUUUACUCAUGGAGCUGAAGUCAGUCGAAGAUACCAGCUGGCUGCAACUGUUUAUUAAAAACACAGCACUGUGCAAACACGAAAGUGGACGUAUACGGUGUGACGCCUGCCCGGUGCCGGAAGGUUAAUUGAUGGGGUCAGCGCAAGCGAAGCUCCUGAUCGAAGCCCCGGUAAACGGCGGCCGUAACUAUAACGGUCCUAAGGUAGCGAAAUUCCUUGUCGGGUAAGUUCCGACCUGCACGAAUGGCGUAAUGAUGGCCAGGCUGUCUCCACCCGAGACUCAGUGAAAUUGAACUCGCUGUGAAGAUGCAGUGUACCCGCGGCAAGACGGAAAGACCCCGUGAACCUUUACUAUAGCUUGACACUGAACAUUGAGCCUUGAUGUGUAGGAUAGGUGGGAGGCUUUGAAGUGUGGACGCCAGUCUGCAUGGAGCCGGCCUUGAAAUACCACCCUUUAAUGUUUGAUGUUCUAACGUGGACCCGUGAUCCGGGUUGCGGACAGUGUCUGGUGGGUAGUUUGACUGGGGCGGUCUCCUCCUAAAGAGUAACGGAGGAGCACGAAGGUUGGCUAAUCCUGGUCGGACAUCAGGAGGUUAGUGCAAUGGCAUAAGCCAGCUUGACUGCGAGCGUGACGGCGCGAGCAGGUGCGAAAGCAGGUCAUAGUGAUCCGGUGGUUCUGAAUGGAAGGGCCAUCGCUCAACGGAUAAAAGGUACUCCGGGGAUAACAGGCUGAUACCGCCCAAGAGUUCAUAUCGACGGCGGUGUUUGGCACCUCGAUGUCGGCUCAUCACAUCCUGGGGCUGAAGUAGGUCCCAAGGGUAUGGCUGUUCGCCAUUUAAAGUGGUACGCGAGCUGGGUUUAGAACGUCGUGAGACAGUUCGGUCCCUAUCUGCCGUGGGCGCUGGAGAACUGAGGGGGGCUGCUCCUAGUACGAGAGGACCGGAGUGGACGCAUCACUGGUGUUCGGGUUGUCAUGCCAAUGGCACUGCCCGGUAGCUAAAUGCGGAAGAGAUAAGUGCUGAAAGCAUCUAAGCACGAAACUUGCCCCGAGAUGAGUUCUCCCUGAGACUACGAGUCUCCUGAAGGAACGUUGAAGACGACGACGUUGAUAGGCCGGGUGUGUAAGCGCAGCGAUGCGUUGAGCUAACCGGUACUAAUGAACCGUGAGGCUUAACCUUACAACGCCGAAG
rnacentral:rRNA from 1 species